rnacentral:rRNA from 1 species
UACAGAGGUGGCAAGCGUUGUUCGGAAUUACUGGGCGUAAAGGGCGAGUAGGCGGCCUUCUAAGUCAGACGUGAAAUCCCCCGGCUUAACCUGGGAACUGCGUCUGAUACUGGAUGGCUUGAGUUUGGGAGAGGGAUGCGGAAUUCCAGGUGUAGCGGUGAAAUGCGUAGAUAUCUGGAGGGACACCGGUGGCGAAGGCGGCAUCCUGGACCAACACUGACACUGAGGAGCGAAAGCCAGGGGAGCAAACGGG